GUUCGUGUAGUGUAGUGGUUAUCACGCUUGUCUCACAUCCUCACGGUUGUUGGUACACAAGAGGCCCCCGGUUCGAGCCCGGGCAUGAACA